GAGAGUUUGAUCCUGGCUCAGGACGAACGCUGGCGGCGCGCCUAACACAUGCAAGUCGAACGAGAGAUGAAGAGCUUGCUCUUCAAAUCGAGUGGCGAACGGGUGAGUAACGCGUGAGGAACCUGCCUCAAAGAGGGGGACAACAGUUGGAAACGACUGCUAAUACCGCAUAAGCCCACGGCUCGGCAUCGAGCAGAGGGAAAAGGAGCAAUCCGCUUUGAGAUGGCCUCGCGUCCGAUUAGCUAGUUGGUGAGGUAAUGGCCCACCAAGGCGACGAUCGGUAGCCGGACUGAGAGGUUGAACGGCCACAUUGGGACUGAGACACGGCCCAGACUCCUACGGGAGGCAGCAGUGGGGAAUAUUGCACAAUGGGGGAAACCCUGAUGCAGCGACGCCGCGUGGAGGAAGAAGGUCUUCGGAUUGUAAACUCCUGUUGUUGAGGAAGAUAAUGACGGUACUCAACAAGGAAGUGACGGCUAACUACGUGCCAGCAGCCGCGGUAAAACGUAGGUCACAAGCGUUGUCCGGAAUUACUGGGUGUAAAGGGAGCGCAGGCGGGAAGACAAGUUGGAAGUGAAAUCCAUGGGCUCAACCCAUGAACUGCUUUCAAAACUGUUUUUCUUGAGUAGUGCAGAGGUAGGCGGAAUUCCCGGUGUAGCGGUGGAAUGCGUAGAUAUCGGGAGGAACACCAGUGGCGAAGGCGGCCUACUGGGCACCAACUGACGCUGAGGCUCGAAAGUGUGGGUAGCAAACAGGAUUAGAUACCCUGGUAGUCCACAUUGUAAACGAUGAUUACUAGGUGUUGGAGGAUUGACCCCUUCAGUGCCGCAGUUAACACAAUAAGUAAUCCACCUGGGGAGUACGACCGCAAGGUUGAAACUCAAAGGAAUUGACGGGGGCCCGCACAAGCAGUGGAGUAUGUGGUUUAAUUCGACGCAACGCGAAGAACCUUACCAAGUCUUGACAUCCUGCGACGCACAUAGAAAUAUGUGUUUCCUUCGGGACGCAGAGACAGGUGGUGCAUGGUUGUCGUCAGCUCGUGUCGUGAGAUGUUGGGUUAAGUCCCGCAACGAGCGCAACCCUUAUGGUCAGUUACUACGCAAGAGGACUCUGGCCAGACUGCCGUUGACAAAACGGAGGAAG
rnacentral:rRNA from 1 species